GAAACUUCAAAUAUGGAUCUCAAUCACAAGCAAGGGUAACGAGGACCCAGUGACCAUGAAGAGGCUCCAGAAGUUCAUGACCUUCUGUUAUGAAGAGUUACUUAUAGUACUAUCUGUGCUCAACAGAAAAGUGCCUACUGAAGAUAAAGAAGCUGAAGCAUCAAGAAGUUAAGCCCCAAAACUUGCUGUUAGCGAAUGGAAGAGUUAGGAUUACAAACCGAGGCAACAAAAGGGAAAAGGAAGAAGUUCCAUGCUCUCAACCACUGCAUUUCUGGCACCUCACCCUGUGCUGCCUUGGUUCCUCACUUACCCCAGCAUCUUUCUUGCUUAACUUUUGUUAUCUUUCCUACAGAGCACAUCUUCUCAUUCUUGCUUAUUGGAGAAGAUUGCUUAUAAGCAGCUUCUCCAAAUCCUACAUGCUGAAUCAUGUAGUUUUAAUUAACUCUCCCAUAGUAUCUUAGAAGUAUUACUCAUUUAAUCUUUC